GCGAUGGUAGCUCAGAGGCAGAGCGGGGGAUCAGUAAUCCCUGCGUCGAGAGUUCGAAACCCUCCCAUCGCCCA
rnacentral:tRNA from 1 species